rnacentral:tRNA from 1 species
GGGGAUGUGACUCAGUGGUAGAGCAUAUGCCUAAUAUGCAUAAGGCCUUAGAUUUAUCCCCA